UACGAAGGGUGCAGGCGUUACUCGGAAUUACUGGGCGUAAAGCGUGCGUAGGUGGUUCGUUAAGUCUGAUGUGAAAGCCCUGGGCUCAACCUGGGAAUGGCAUUGGAAACUGGCGACCUAGAGUGCGGUAGAGGGUAGUGGAAUUCCCGGUGUAGCAGUGAAGUGCGUAGAGAUCGGGAGGAACAUCCGUGGCGAAGGCGACUACCUGGACCAGCACUGACACUGAGGCACGAAAGCGUGGGGAGCAAACAGG
rnacentral:rRNA from 1 species